CAAAUGUUUUGGCUAUUAAUACCCUGACUCAUAUUCUGGAGGGCAGAGCACGGGCAAGGAGCUGUUAUUUUACCAAGAAAUACAUAUUUGAAAAUAAAACUGAGGUGGUUGGUCCCUAUUUGGAGGAUGGAAAUCAUUGGACUUUUUUUCACUGCAGUAUCGUGGAUCGGACUAUUACUUACCUGAAUUCACUUGGGGAGACUAAGCAUCAGUAUAAUAAAAUAGCAGAAAACUGGAGCACAUUUGCUGCAUCAAAAGGGUACCAGGGGCCAUGGAAAUGGGUAAUGAGGUAGCACAGCCUCCAGUCUGACAGUAUU